UACGGAGGAUCCAAGCGUUAUCCGGAAUCAUUGGGUUUAAAGGGUCCGUAGGCGGUUUGGUAAGUCAGUUGGUGAAAGCCCAUCGCUCAACGGUGGAACGGCCAUUGAUACUGCCAGACUUGAAUUAUUUAGGAAGUAACUAGAAUAUGUAGUGUAGCGGUGAAAUGCUUAGAGAUUACAUGGAGUACCAAUUGCGAAGGCAGGUUACUACUAAUGGAUUGACGCUGAUGGACGAAAAGCGUGGGUAGCGAACAGG
rnacentral:rRNA from 1 species